rnacentral:lncRNA from 1 species
AUGUUAUGCCAAUGCCAUGUCCAUGUCACAUGCAUCACUUUUCUGUGCCUAUGCUGUGCACGUGCUACCUCCAUGCCCAUUUCUAUGCCUGUUCCCAUCCAAUGCCCAUGCCCAUGCCAUGUCUAUUGUAUGUCCACACACAGAUCUAUGCAUCCUUUCCACAUGCUAUGCCCACAUCCAUCCCUUCCUUACGCUCACAUUAUGCCUUCCCUAUGGUCAUGUCUAUCUCCUCCCUAUGGUCAUACCUAUGGCCGUGCCCAUGCCUGUGCCCAUAUCCAUCUCUUCCCCAUGCCUAUGCCCACAUCCAUCUCUUUAUGCCCAUGCCCAUCUCAUCCUCAUGCUCGUGUCCAUCUCCUCCCUAUGUCCAUGCCCAUGUCUACACCCGUGUUCAUCUCUUCCCCAUGCCUAUGUCUACACCAAUAUCUUCCUCAUGACCAUGCCCAUGACCAUCUCUUCCCCAUGCCCACAUACAUCUCCUCUACAUGCCCAAACCUAUGCCCAUGUCCAUCUCUUCCCCAUGCCCAUGCCCACAUCCAUCUCCUCCUCACGUCCAUGCACAUCUCCUCCCCAUGCCCACAUCCAUUUCCUCCCUAUGGCUGUGUCUGUGCCCAUGUCCAUUUUCCUUUCAUGCCCAUUCCCAUGCCCAUCUCCUGCCCAUGCCCAUUUCCAUUCCAUGUUCAUGCCCAUUCCCAUGCCCAUCUCCUGCCCAUGCCCAUUUCCAUUCCAUGUUCAUGCCCAUUCCCAUGCCCAUCUCCUCCCCAUGCCCAUCUCCUCCCCAUGCCCACCUCCACCCCCUUCACACCUUAUGCCCACCCCAUACCCCUCCUCAUGCCACCCCAUGCCCGUGCCCAAGCCAUUCCCACGCCGCCCCCAUGCCCACGCCGCCCUGAGCCGCCCGCGGUGCGCAGCAGCGGGCCGCAUGUGUGCCUGUCAUUCCCAGCCCGGGAGCGCCGGCUCCUGCCUCCCAUUCAUGUAACCUGUGUGUGUCUCUCUUUCUCUCUGUGUGUAACAGAGAGAGGGAGAGAGAGAGCGAGGAAAGGAGAGGAGGAGGAGGAGGGGGGGGAAGCUUUAAAUAAAGCCUUUGGAUUGCAGCUGCUUAUUUUGGGCAGUCCUACCAGGGACGAUUCCUGCCAGGAAAGAAGCUGGACCGGUCUUUUUUAUUUUGAUUUUGAUUUUUGGGGGUGGCGGUGGUGUAUUGCCGAGCCGCCUGCUGAGAUGAGCUCCGGUGCCUGGCCGUAG